UCGCGCAGUCCACCCCCUUCCUAGAUCGACGCCCCUUCCUCUCCCGAUUUAGAUCAACACACAACGCCCUUGCUUCUCCACGAUCGAGUCUCUAUUUCUUUGCAGGCAUCUCGGCUCCGGACAUGAAGAACGCUCGCUUCAUCCCAUCGUUGACGAGACUCCGCCUCUGCCUCCUUCCAGGUACGCAGUUGUCUUGCUUCCCUCGGCAUCAUCUCUGACCCCCUAACAAUCGGGCCACCGUCGCUUCGCUACUAGCUUUGGCUCCCCUCUCGAAGCCCUUCCGCAAGCGUCGCCGCCUUUGCUGCGCCGUCCUCAAAGACGACGCCCCUCCGGAGGAGAUGCCGCAGCAAAGUCCAGGUGAGGGAGUCGGCGCAGCUAUUGAAGAAAGGCCUAGUGCAUUCUCUACUUCUCCUUCAUCUUCCAGAUAAUUCGAAGUUUAGUUUCGAUUCCCAAAUCGGCAUAGUCUUAUCCUCCUGUUUAAGUUAAUUAGUUGGUUUGUUAAUAAUGUCACCAUUGAGCAACAUUAUUAUUGCAAUUUAUCUGUGUUCGAGUUUUUGGAUGAAGUUGCCCUAAAUCACCCUUUCUAAUGUCUGGAUGCAAGGUUGCUGAUGGAUAUGGUAAUAUGUUGGUAUGUGAUUGCCUGGACUAUUUUUUUCAUAAUAAUUUUUUAUAUAUUUUUUAUGAGUAGAAAUCUUUUCUAGAGCUUAAAUUUAACUUCUUGUAAGAAAGUAAUUUGAACUUCAAUUUGAGUAUGCGAAUCUUUAUCUGCUAUACAAGAAACUCUGUUCAGUCUAUUUUCAAUAUUUUAAUAAUUUUUGUUUUCAUUCAGGUAACUGUAGUUGGGAUAAAUACUGAAUGGGGUUUGUUGAUGGCUAGUAUUUCAGAGGAUACUGGUGGAGAAACUCCACUACAGUUUUUUUCUGAAUUGUGAAUUCUAUUUUAUGCCCCGUGCAAAUUUUGCUAUCAAGCCUACUUUUUUUUCUUGCUUUCUGUUAUAGGUACGCUUGAAUGUUGUUGCUACCUUCAUUGGUAUAGUAGGGCUGACUAUAGCUGUUGGUGUUCUAGUAGUCCUGCUGGUUUGAUACUUUACUGGACAUACAAAGAACCCGGAUGGAUUUGUUCAAUUCAUAAAGGGAUAGACAGGUAUAAAAUGUCCUGGAUAGCAUGAAUUAAGGGGCUACCAGUAAGCUGUUUCUUGGAUAGCUACAUGUUGCUUGAGGUUGCCUAUUUGAGUUGGUGAUUACUAGCUGAGAAUGGUUCUUUAUAGUAAUAAUGUCCUGAAGGAUUUGAAUUAUUUGAGGGGCAAAUUUGAGUUACACCAUUGAGGAUAGUCAGAAUGGCUGAUGGUUCCUGUGUUGUUUUUUGCUUUAUUGCUUAUGUACUGUUUGCUAGAUUCUUCAUCAGAUCGAGAUAGGCGACGAAGAUGAAGAAUCUGAAAGCUCAGAUUCAGAAAGUAAUGAUGAUUUGGAAUUGUCAAAAGUCACUAAAAUGAGACUUCUUCCUUCAUAUGCUGGAAAGUGUAUCCUUGCUAUCAUGCAUGCCUCAUAUUGUUAGUGCAUUUUAACAUUGUAAUGGGUGUUUUGAAACUUCACAGGUUCUUUCUUGUUUUUACAGAUGACAACACCAAUAUCAAUUGAAGACGUUCGUAGAGAGGUCAAAAUCCUCAAAGACUUGUCCAACCAUAAUAAUCUUGUCAAAUUUUAUGAUGCAUGUGAGGAUGCACUUAACGUCUACGUAGUCAUGGAAUUAUGUGAAGGUGGAGAAUUAUUAGAAAGAAUUUUAUCCAAAGGUGGAAGGUACUCAGAGGAGGAUGCAAAAGCUAUAGUUAUUCAAAUACUGAGUGUAAUCGCCUUUUGUCAUCUUCAAGGUGUUGUGCAUCAUGAUUUAAAGCCAGAGGCCCUAUUGCAAAAUGCAACCGAAAGUUGGAGAGCAAUUUGUAGAGUUUUUGCCGCAUUGAUUAGAGAAGGGAUUUGCCUGGAUCAUCGGCGUUUGUUGGAUCUGCGCUGAGCUGGAUUUGGUUCCGUGGUAAUUAGGGCGAAUUGUGGCUCUUGCUUUGGCCACUCCUGGGUUCUUGUCCUCUUGGAAGUUCGGUUGAGUUGCUGCUUUCUUGACGAGACCUGGGAUUGUUUCCGUGGAAUUUCCUUUGCGUAAGGAUUUUAUUGAGAGAUCUAAUAGAAAAAUUCAUUUUUUUUGUCUGUUCUUUUUCCUUUUUUUGUCAUGUUGGAUUUGCUAUGGUAGGAAUUUCAUUUGGGGGAUAACGUCGUGGUCUUAUUGAUGCCGGUAAGAACAAUGGUGAUGAUUAACUCUAUAGAUCUUACUAUACUCGCGGGGGAAAUUGUUUAUAUUGUGGAAUUUCAUAUCAAACCGGUCAUCUACGUGUAAUUGAUGCAUGUUUCGAGUGGGAUCUCUAAACUAACAGAAUCCCAUACUGGUUUCUCUGUUCAUUUUUUAACUCUUUCAUAAUUCAUGUGGGAGAUUAAAACUUGAUUCUACUCUAUUAUAUAUUUUCAGAUUUUGCACAUCUUAAGCGUUAAUUGUCAGCUGUUAUUUAAGUUGGUCAAUAUAUUCAGAUUUCAUUUGGCAUUGUUGACUUAUUUGAAGCAGGACAGAAUGUUAAAAGAUGAAAUGGCUACAUCUCGGCUAGAUGAUUCUUAUUUCUCAUCUUCAACCUCACAAUCCAAUCGAGACGGUUUAUUUUUGGCCAGGUAAGGAAAUAUUUCAUUGAUCAUAGGCCAUAUUGUGAAUUUACUAUCAUUUCCUCUUGUGAUUCUAAAUCUUUGAUAGUUGUUAUCCCUAGCUAUUCCUGCAGCUCAACAUCCUAUUCUCUGUAAUUGCGGCAUAUGCUAUGCCUUCUGAUAGUCAAAGUUAAAAUAAAAAAGGAAGCAAAAUUACUGGUUUUAUCUUCUAGUGAUUUCUGAUAGUCGAAUUUGUUUGCCAAUAUCCAAAAUGUGAUUGUUCAGUUGCAUACUUUCCUCUGUCAUUUACUUCUAUGUCUAUCCUUGUGCAGGCCCUAUUGCAAAAUGCAACCGAGUCAAUGAAGGAGAGUAAGUUUACAAAUCUCAAGUACUCCAAAGUUGAAAUUGAUGAAGUGCAGUUCGAGUGGGCUGAAU